AACGAACGCUGGCGGCAGGCUUAACACAUGCAAGUCGAACGGUUGUAGCAAUACAGCAGUGGCAGACGGGUGAGUAACACGUGGGAACCUUCCUAGGGGUACGGAACAACUCAGGGAAACUUGAGCUAAUACCGUAUACGUCCGUGAGGAGAAAGAUUUAUCUCCCUUAGACGGGCCCGCGUCGGAUUAGCUAGUGGGUGGGGUAACGGCCUACCAAGGCGACGAUCCGUAGCUGAUCUUAUAGGAUGAUCAGCCACACUGGGACUGAGACACGGCCCAGACUCCUACGGGGGGCAGCAGUGGGCAAUCUUGGACAAUGGGCGCAAGCCUGAUCCAGCCAUGCCGCGUGAGUGAAGAAGGUCUUCGGAUUGUAAAGGCCUUUUAUCAGGGACGAAUUUGUGACGGUACCUGAAGAAUAAGUCACUGCUAACUUCGUGCCAGCCGCCGCUGUAA
rnacentral:rRNA from 1 species